GUGUUUAUUUGUCGAUGCCUUACUCCGUGAGGAGUGGUAUUCCAUGUAAACAGUGUCAUCUGCCCCAGACAUCGAGCUCAUUGUGCCUGUUCGACGGGACACCUGCAGCUUUCUUUUUUCCUUUGGAAGUUUUCCCAUCACUAAGCUUUACCGACCCAGAAGAUGCUUCAUUUCCAUUCACUGGUAUAUAGGCAUAUUCUCUUUGACUAAAACAUAAUCCAAGGAGGAUAUAAAGGAACACCAUGAACAUCCAGAGUCUCUGCUGCUCUAGGACAUGAUCCAAGGCCCAGAGCCCAACCACCCCCUCCUUUACCUUUUUUGGCUCUCAGCACUCGUCCCAGCCUUUGAGCCUCCUGCCUUCGCGACCCACCAUGGGAUGAGAUCUGGAUGAGAACGUUGGCUUCUGGCAGAUCAAAGGACGUGUCACCCACCUAUAACAGAGCAACAACCUCUGAGCAGGAUCUUAAUUCCAUGUAUCACCAACAAACAAUAUAUACAAAGCACACCUUUCUUUGUGAGUUGCAAUAUGAAGAUGUUAAAUGCACACCAUACACGUGUAACUUAAAUAAAGUUGGCCCUGAAAACAGGUA